CCUACGGGUGGCAGCAGUGAGGAAUAUUGGUCAAUGGACGCAAGUCUGAACCAGCCAUGCCGCGUGCAGGAAGACUGCUCUAUGAGUUGUAAACUUCUUUUGUACGAGAGUAAACGCAGAUACGCGUAUCUGUCUGAAAGUAUCGUACGAAUAAGGAUCGGCUAACUCCGUGCCAGCAGCCGCGGUAAUACGGAGGAUUCAAGCGUUAUCCGGAUUUAUUGGGUUUAAAGGGUGCGUAGGUGGUUGGUUAAGUUAGUGGUGAAAGCUCGAGGCUCAACCUCGGAAUUGCAUCUGAUACUGGCCGUCUAGAGAGUAGUUGCGGUAGGCGGAAUGCAUGGUGUAGCGGUGAAAUGCUUAGAGAUCACACAGAACACCGAUUGCGAAGGCAGCUUACCAAGCUACUUCUGACGUUGAGGCACGAAAGCGUGGGGAGCAAACAGGAUUAGAUACCCGAGUAGUC
rnacentral:rRNA from 1 species